rnacentral:rRNA from 4 species
UCUGGUGCUUCUAGCGACGGGGAAACACCUGUUCCCAUCCCGAACACAGCCGUUAAGCCCGCCAGCGCCGAUGAUAGUGCCACAAGCGUGAAAGUAGGUCAGUGCCAGGA